rnacentral:rRNA from 1 species
AACGAACGCUGGCGGCAUGCCUAACACAUGCAAGUCGAACGCUCCGGCAAGGGGAGUGGCGAACGGGUGAGUAACGCGUGGGAACCUGCCCAGUAGUUGGGGAUAACCGCGGGAAGCUGCGGGCUAAUACCGAAUACGCCCUAAGGGGAAAGAUUUAUCGCUAUUGGAGGGGCCCGCGUCGGAUUAGCUGGUUGGUGAGGUAACGGCUCACCAAGGCGACGAUCCGUAGCUGGUCUGGAGA